GAUGAACGCUGGCGGCGUGCCUAAUACAUGCAAGUCGAGCGAACAGAUAAGGAGCUUGCUCCUUUGACGUUAGCGGCGGACGGGUGAGUAACACGUGGGUAACCUAUCUAUAAGACUGGAAUAACUCCGGGAAACCGGGGCUAAUGCCGGAUAACAUGUUGAACCGCAUGGUUCUACAGUGAAAGGCGGCUUUGCUGUCACUUAUAGAUGGACCCGCGCCGUAUUAGCUAGUUGGUGAGGUAACGGCUCACCAAGGCAACGAUACGUAGCCGACCUGAGAGGGUGAUCGGCCACACUGGAACUGAGACACGGUCCAGACUCCUACGGGAGGCAGCAGUAGGGAAUCUUCCGCAAUGGGCGAAAGCCUGACGGAGCAACGCCGCGUGAGUGAUGAAGGUCUUCGGAGCGUAAAACUCUGUUAUUAGGGAAGAACAAAUGCGUAAGUAACUGUGCGCGUCUUGACGGUACCUAAUCAGAAAGCCACGGCUAACUACGUG
rnacentral:rRNA from 1 species